UUCAAGUGUUCAAAAGUACUAAAAUGUAUAUAUAGCUUAAGCUUAAGCUAGUAUAAACUUUUAGUACUUGUAUGGUCGAUUCCAAUUAUACUUUGAUAGGGACGGAUCUAGGAUUGAACUCCAAGCCUGGCUAAUAUGUAAAAAUAAGAAUUUACACAUAAUUUUUUUUUUUUUUUUACAAUAAAAAAUUUAAAUGGGAUGGGGGUUGGACUAGGCUAUAGCCCAGCCCAGUCCCACUGUAUAUGUCCCUGAGGCCCUUUAGAAGAAUAACGUGUGGACAAUCUUAUGGCAUGAAAUGGAGGUUCAGGGCCGGCCCUGGCCCAAGGCAAGUAAGGCAACUGCCUUGGGCCUCAAAUUUCAAGGGGCCUCUAAAAAAGGCCCAAAACGGCCCAUCCCAAAAAAAAAAAGGAAAAAAAAAAAAAAAACGGAGGAAAACUGACCGCCUUCUUCUCCAUUCCAAUCAUGUUCACCAAACAAAAUCUUGAGUCCUUUUUAUCAAGAAAGGAAGAAUCGUGUAGGUGAUAAACUAGAAGAGAAGCAGAGGACAAUAUCAAUAAGAAAAUCCAUAAAAACUACAGUCAACCAGCAAAGCUGCAAAAGAUAUGGCGAAAUCCGAUUACCCAACCACAGUCAGAAGCUUCAUUUUCUGGUCGACGACAAAUGCUUCAAUUGGUUUAUUAAGCAACGGACCUUCGACCGGUAGCCGGAGACGCCAGAUGUUGAUGAAUCCAUCUGACUGUUGAGGGUCAGUCCUGUGGAGGUUGUAAUAAAGGUGGGUAAGAGAAGAGAGGUGAAUUGAAUAGCUUGGUAACUUUUCAGUAUAAGAGUUGGCUGAAUGCUCUGUUUACCUUUUAAGUGAAAUGAUUAAAGUGGCUUAUGCUUGUUUUCUUUCA